GUUAUUUCCAUAACAACCCAGAGAGUUGGGUUAAAAUCGGGCUCACGUCACGCAUUUUGAAUUUCAACGGUUGACCGGUGCCACUGCUGAGUGCGGACAGACACGAGAGACAUUCUUGGAGAUGUUGCAUUAAAAACCUUACAAAAUGGCCAGCAAGAUGGUUCAGCCUUCCUACAGUACCAAGAGGCAAAGCAAACAUUUAUUAAUUUGCAACCUGUCAGAAAACAAACAUAAUUCAGUAUUUGGAGGAGGAGGUAUGACGAAGACCCCAUGUCCUCCUAUGGGAUGAAUUUGACUAAUCACAAGCCUUUGUUAUCGUGGGGAGGCAUGGCCCUGGAGCAAGACCAGCAGUUGACAUGUGCUUUAAUAUUUUUUUACAUUUUAUACAGAGUAUCCCAAGCCUUUCACUACUGUUAUGUAGUUUCUGUAACACACAAUACAUUUUGUACCAUGUGAUGUUUCCUGAACACACUGUCACCUGCUUAAAGGGACAGUUCCCCCAAAAAUGAAAAUUGUCAUAAUUUUCUUCCUCUCCUGUCGUUACAAACCUGUACACAUUUUUUUGUUCUGAUGACCACAAAGGAAGAUAUUUUGAGUAAUGUUUGAAACCAAACAGAUCAUGAGCCCCAUUGACUGUCAUAGUAGGAAAAAAGAAUACUAUGAAAAUGAAUGGGGCUCAUGAUCGGUUUUAUUUUUUAAACAUUCUUUGAAAUAUACCUUUGUGGUUAUCAAAG